GAUGAACGCUGGCGGCGUGCCUAAUACAUGCAAGUCGAGCGAAUGGAUUAAGAGCUUGCUCUUAUGAAGUUAGCGGCGGACGGGUGAGUAACACGUGGGUAACCUGCCCAUAAGACUGGGAUAACUCCGGGAAACCGGGGCUAAUACCGGAUAACAUUUUGAACCGCAUGGUUCGAAAUUGAAAGGCGGCUUCGGCUGUCACUUAUGGAUGGACCCGCGUCGCAUUAGCUAGUUGGUGAGGUAACGGCUCACCAAGGCAACGAUGCGUAGCCGACCUGAGAGGGGGAUCGGGCACACUGGGACUGCGACACGGCCCCGACUCCGACGGGAGGCAGCAGUAGGGAAUCUUCCGCAAUGGACGAAAGUCUGACGGAGCAACGCCGCGUGAGGGAUGAAGGCUUUCGGGUCGUAAAACUCUGUUGUUAGGGAAGAACAAGUGCUAGUUGAAUAAGCUGGCACCUUGACGGUACCUAACCAGAAAGCCACGGCUAACUACGUGCCAGCCGCCGCGGUAA
rnacentral:rRNA from 1 species